rnacentral:rRNA from 1 species
UACGUAGGGGGCGAGCGUUAUCCGGAUUUACUGGGCGUAAAGCGCGUUAAGGCGGUUGGUAACGUUGGCUGUGAAAUCUCAGGGCUCAACCCUGAAAUUGCGACCAAUACUGGUCGACUAGAGUGCAAGAGAGGAAGGUGGAAUUCCCGGUGUAGUAGUGAAAUGCGUAGAUAUCGGGAGGAACACCAGUGGCGAAGGCGGCCUCCUGGCUUGUAACUGACGCUGUAGCGCGAAAGCGUGGGGAGCGAACCGG